rnacentral:lncRNA from 1 species
GUGGUUAUCGAGGUUCCUGAUCUACAUCAGAAGAGUCCAUUAGGACUUGCAAAAUAUCAUACAUUUGUGGCUCUGACCUACUCAUACACACACAACACUGCUGCUUCCACACGUACGCAUGUUGGUCUGGGUCAAUCUUGUAUCAGAGUCAUUUUUUAUGCUAGAGAGGGGAUUUGUCAAUUUUUAGCCUUUUAAAGCAACCAGACAGGUAGUGUGGUAAAUCCCGUGUUAGCCAUGAGGAAAG